UUGACCUGCAAAUGAUAACGAUUAUUAUUGCAUUCAGCUGGUCGCGAGGUCAGCCGAUAACCUGAAAACUCUUGGUCGUGUUUUCAGAUUAUCUCCUCAUCAGGCUAAUCACGGUUAUUGACCCGGCUCUUUGGCCGGGUCUUUUUUUC
rnacentral:sRNA from 4 species